rnacentral:lncRNA from 1 species
UGGAAAACAGGUUCUGAGGGCACCAUUGCCUUCGUGUAAGCCACCAACAGGGCUGACUGGGUUAUUUGCUGUGUGAGGCUCGGAAAUGGACGGAGCACGUCCAGCGCUUCCCUUGGAUUCCUCGCCAGGCACAGAGGAAAGGCUAUGGGAGCACAAAGCAAGAAAGUGGACUUCUGCAAGCCAGGAAGAAAGGCCUCCCCAGAAACCAACUCUGUGAGCACAUCGAUCUUUGACUUUUGGCCUCCAGAAUAUUGAGAAAAUAAAAGUCUGUUGUUAAGCCACCCAACCUAUGGUAUCUUUCUAUGGCAGCCUGAGCUGACUAAUACCCUUGGUAGGUGGGUGGCAGUCACCUUACUGGGCUACA